rnacentral:lncRNA from 1 species
CAGCUCAAGGCACAAGCAGAAGGCACAUGAAAGGAGGAGCUUCUUGUGGCUGCGAAGGAGGAGCUUAUUGUGGUCGCGAAGGAGGUGUUUCUUGCUGUUGUGAGUGGGGCACAGUCUUCCAGCAUCUCAGGUGGUUUCUACUAGCAAGGGGAGGAAGUCAAGACUUCCCACCUUUGGUUGGAAUGAAGGAAGAAAGAAGGAAAAAUUCCAUUCCUCAGAGGAUGCAGAUGCUCUCUGAAGGAAAGAUCCUGGAGAAUGAAGACAAUAUUAUGAGAAAACUCCAAAGAACCAGCGAAUAAGCUCUUAACCUAGAGAUGUUUACAUCCUAGUAACUAAAUAUUUG